ensembl:lncRNA
GAACAUCAAAAUGCAUGAACAGUAGAAGGAUUUUCUUUUAAGAUACAGACACUUAAUAAGGAGGGUGGCUUUUACAUUAAAAAAAAAAAGUGCCAACCUAUUUUCAAUAUAUUUUCUUAUAAAUGGGUUUGAAGAACAACUGAGUCACUUACCAGUGGGAUCUCAGUUUGACCUACAGAGAAAACAUGCCACAAGGGAAACGACUUUCUAGGAGCUUAGCUAUUGAGCUUGAACUGUUUCACUCCACAGAAUCAAAGAAUGGCCUGGGUUGAAAAGGACCACAAUGAUCACUGAGUUCCAACCCCCUGCUAUGUGCAGGGUCGCCAACCACCAGACCAGGCUGCCCAGAGCCACAUCCAGCCUGGCCUUGAAUGCCUCCAGGGAUGGGGCAUCCACAGCCUCCCUGGGCAACCUGUUCAGUGCGUCACCACCCUCUGUGCGAAACCACUUCCUUGUGAUACGUCAUUGAGAAACAAAGAUGAUCAGACGCCACAAUACAGCACAGAAGCGCUUAAGAACGACUCCAAAGACAUUUGCACGGACGUGGUGUAUUUCAGACACAACUACAGCAUAAACAUUUCGAGAUCGGGUUGUGGACAACAAAUCACACUUCUCGUUCCCGUGUACAGUUUCUGUAAGGAUCGCAGUGCAGUGCCCAAAGCCGUUCAUACAUCACUACUGUGAAACAGAAGCAAGAGGGUGCACUUUGUUUUAUAAAAAAAUCCAAAUAAAUUAUACAUGGAGAGCUACCGCCGAGCUUUACAUAUAAAAAGAGUUAAAAAGCAUCCAUCUCUCGUCAGCACUACACGCACACGCAGCACAAGGGUACAAGUCGGUGAGUGCAGGCUGCAAGUCAGUCAACAGCUCAUAACAUUCUUAGGGAAAACGAUAGAUAUAUAUGUGUGUGUAUAUAAAUUUGUAAGGGAUCUGGAUUUUUCCAAAUGACUGCAACACAGCACGUGGCUGUAUUUCUUCAUUCCUUUCAGCUCUCAAAGCUUUUAAG